rnacentral:misc_RNA from 1 species
GCAAACUUGGUCAUUUAGAGGAAGUAAAAGUCGUAACAAGGUCUCCGUUGGUGAACCAGCGGAGGGAUCAUUACUGAGUUUAGUACUCUCAACCCUUUGUGAACAAUACCUAUUUUGUUGCUUCGGCGGACAGCUCUAGGGCUGUUAGUAGCCCCGAAAGGGGCUCCCGCCGGAGGUUUUCAGGCUCUGAAUUUAUAACGUUUCUUCUGAUUGAUAUUUUAAAAAAUUUAAAACUUUCAACAACGGAUCUCUUGGCUCUGGCAUCGAUGAAGAACGCAGC